GCAACAGUGGUUCAGUGGUAGAAUUCCUGCCUUCCAUGCAGAGACACAGGUUCAAUUUCUGACCAAUGUG
rnacentral:tRNA from 1 species